CACUCGUCAAGUAAAGAUGCAAGCAUUUAUCGCGCUCCUUGUGAUGACUGUUCUGAUGGCAGACAUCGGCCUAGGCCACCAAAUACCAUAGGUAGGCCCACAACAAUGGGUUGGGCCCCACGUGAUAGGACGAGGAUGGCUCCAGUGUGACCAGAAAAACCGCCCUACACACGUGACCCCGGCGCAAGUCUGUGAUGGAGUCAUGCACUGCCACGACGGGGCCGACGAACUUAAUUGCAUAGCAACGACGACCACGACGUGUUCACCAUGCCCGACGGCGAGACCGUGUAUAUAGAAGGCACCACGGCGAGACCGGUUACACAGGCGAUUAUUGUAUAUUUUCUGUCAUGUGGCAAAUAGUAACUGCUAUAUGUAUUCAAC